rnacentral:rRNA from 1 species
CACGUAGGGGGCAAGCGUUGUCCGGAUUUAUUGGGCGUAAAGAGCUCGUAGGUGGUUCGGUAAGUCAGGUGUGAAACCUCCAGGCUCAACCUGGAGACGCCACUUGAUACUGCUGUGACUGGAGUCCGGUAGGGGAGCGUGGAAUUCCUGGUGUAGCGGUGAAAUGCGCAGAUAUCAGGAGGAACACCAGCGGCGAAGGCGGCGCUCUGGGCCGGUACCGACACUGAGGAGCGAAAGCGUGGGUAGCAAACAGG